rnacentral:rRNA from 1 species
UCGGGAAUUUUGGGCAAUGCCCGCAAGGGUGACCCAGCAACGCCGCGUGGAGGAUGAAUGUCGUAAGAUUGUAAACUCCUGUUAGAGGGGAAGAAUAGUAACGGUUGGACCGGUAUCUGACUGUACCCUCAGAGAAAGCCCCGGCUAACUACGUGCCAGCAGCCGCGGUAAUACGUAGGGGGCAAGCGUUGUCCGGAUUUACUGGGUGUAAAGGGCGCGCAGGCGGGAUAAAAAGUCAGUGGUGAAAUCCUACAGCUUAACUGUAGAACUGCCUUUGAUACUUUUAUUCUUGAGUACGGGAGAGAGAGACGGAAUUCCAGGUGUAGUGGUGAAAUACGUAGAUAUCUGAAAGAACACCAGUUGCGAAGGCGGUCUCUUGGUCCGACACUGACGCUGAGGCGCGAAAGCGUGGGGAGCAAACA